UACAAGAAAAGAAAUAUUAAAUAACUGACAAUUAUCAGACCUCUUCUGCAAUACUUUGCCGUAUUUUAUGUUGUACAGAUGCCUUCACUUGAUUUUGUGCAGAUACCUCUUCUGAGGAGAACCUGAGAAGUGAACUUGUGACCAGUUGAUCUAGCGAGAGAGAGAGAGAGAGAGAGAGAGAGAGAGAGAGAGAGAGAGAGAGAGAGAGAGAGAGAGAGAGUAUUCUCUCCCGAUUGCAGGCGGGAACAUCAGCAUCAGGCAGGUAAACAAAGCCCUCUACACUUAAUUAAAGAUGCAAUAUAUAGAAACCCAGUCCCCAUAAGAAUUCACAGAUAAUCUACUUGAAAGCAUCAUCUGAUUCGCCAGUCUUGAUGGAGUUUAAAAUGUUGCAAGUACUCAGUCAUCAUAAAGAGUUCUACCACAGAGUAAGUCAUCCCUGACAAAUUUGCCCAAGCUUCGAUAGGAUAAGUCAUUCACGAUUACAACCUUAGAGCAACAGUAGUAAUACAGAUUAGGACUAUCAUGAAGGCACCAUUCUAAUCCCUUAAUCCAACAGUUACUGUACAGCAAGACAAGCAUACAGGACGACCACUUUCCCGAACCAAGUAUUUCGUCACUUGAAUCAAAUGCAACUCAAAAACCUUACAGACCAGCUACCAGGCCAUUACCCAGAAAAACAACCCAACAAUUGUCUCUGCAGUUAAUGCAUGUAUUACACCAUAAGAUGAAUAUUACCGAGAAAUCCAUAUGAAAAAGAUUUUCACAUAGGGCGGGGUAAAUGUUCCCGCCCGACAAACUCAAGAAGCCUAUAUUAACGAACCUCGACAUAGUAUACUCCGCAAAACGACAGGAUCAGGCCCGUCCGAACGCAAAUCCAGGGAGGGGAAAAAAACUGAAAAAGAAAAAUUUCGGCAUCAUCCAGCUUCACUGCCCAUCAAACGGCCUCCAGUCAACGAAGCUCACGGUCCAGAGCACUCAACAAUCGCUACCCAACCUCAUUCGGACGCACAACACACGACACCCAAGAUUCACUACUGCCAGAGAACACGAAACCCAAGUAACCCAAGAUGUGUCCCCAACAGAUUUCACUUCCCCGAAACAUCGAUCCACAGAAACUCGCCUAAAGUUCACUUUUUGAACAUAAUGGCGACCGAAAAAACGAGUCUUUGUCCACCAAGGAUCGUACCAAAAACCACCAAGAUGGCACCGCGGAGCGAACGGGAGCGGAUACAUGAGCGAGCCGAAGAGCGAGAUAGCGGGCGAAAGGGGGAAGAGGAAUUGGGAAUGAAGCUUACUUCUUGAACAUAAUUGCAGAGAAGGACGACGAAUUCGAGGGCGCCUGAUCGCCUCAAUGCAAGGGAAGAAGACAAUGGUGAGGAAGAGGUUUAGACCGAUGGAGAACAAUAGCGCCGCGUCGUUGUCAAGCUCCAUUUUUCCAU
rnacentral:lncRNA from 1 species